CCUACGGGAGGCAGCAGUAGGGAAUCUUCCACAAUGGGCGAAAGCCUGAUGCAGCAACGCCGCGUGGGUGAAGAAGGUCUUCGGAUCGUAAAACCCUGUUGUUAGAGAAGAAAGUGCGUGAGAGUAACUGUUCACGUUUCGACGGUAUCUACCCAGAAAGCCACGGCUAACUACGUGCCGGCAGCCGCGGUAAUACGUAGGUUGCAAGCGUUAUCCGGAUUUAUUGGGCGUAAAGGGAACGCAGGCGGUCUUUUAAGUCUGAUGUGAAAGCCUUCGGCUUAACCGGAGUAGUGCAUUGGAAACUGGGAGACUUGAGUGCAGAAGAGGAGAGUAGAACUCCAUGUGUAGCGGUGAAAUGCGUAGAUAUCUGGAAGAACACCAGUGGCGAAAGCGGCUCUCUGGUCUGUAACUGACGCUGAGGUUCGAAAGCGUGGGUAGCAAACAGGAUUAGAUACCCCAGUAGUC
rnacentral:rRNA from 1 species